CGAUGACAUUGUCAGACCCUUGGUUGUCUUGCUUACUUACAUUCAGUAGAAUAUUAUACGGAGAUGACGAGUAAAUUAUACCCUCUCUGACCACAUGGAACCAAGUUAUCUUUGAUCAGUGUUAGAUAAUACUAAUAACAUGUUGUUAUACCAUUUCUUGCCGAAUUAAAAAAAAAACUGGGCACAGGCAGACGCGAUCGCGGUUAAACAUAUCAGUCGAUAAUUGUGCGUAGAGCGUCACAAUGAAGAAGACGACACCCUGCAAGACCACGAUGAAGCUCUUUUUGAUAUCUGCAAUUUACCUCAUUGUUUUCUUCGACUGUCAUUCGAGUCUCACCGUCAAAAUCGAGGAACGAUACCCAAGGGUUGUUACACCACUUGGAUCGAUAGAAGGCUAUUUCAAAGUAUCGAGCAACAAUAAGCGUAUAGAAGCCUACGAAGGUAUACCUUACGCCAAACCACCGAUCGGCGAGUUGCGAUUUCGGGUCGCCAGGCGUCUCUCGCCAUGGUCUGGCGUUUUGAAGGCGAAACGGUUCGGGCUGCCAUGUUUGCAGUAUACUCACUUCCCUAUGGAUCCUGCCAACAAGGUCGAAGGCUCCGAGGAUUGUCUUUACAUGAAUAUUUACGCGGCGGGUCGGUGCGAACACCACUUCAAGGCAACUAUGGAUCCAGCCGAGUUACUACCGGUUAUUGUCUACAUUCACGGAGGCGCGUUUCAAUUCGGGUCCCCGAUGAGUUUCAAGCCAACUUACUUGCUCAACAAAGACAUUAUUCUGGUUACGUUUAAUUACAGGCUUGGACCACUAGGUUUUCUUAGUACGGAGGAUGCGACAGUCCCCGGGAACAUGGGUCUCAAGGAUCAAGUAAUUGCUUUGCAUUGGAUUGCGGACAACAUUGAGUCAUUCGGUGGGGAUCCGGAAAAGAUUACCAUUGCAGGACAUAGCUCUGGCGGGGCUAGCGUGCAUUAUCACUACUUAACGAAUCUCACCUCAGGAUUGUUUAAUGCCGGAAUUUCGCUGAGUGGCACAGCGUUGAAUUGCUGGGCGCAGACAGAAGGAUCCCUUAUGAAGGCGAAAAAACUGGCAUCCAUUGUAGGGUGUCCGUCAAGAGAUGUCCAAGACAUGGUGGAAUGUCUGAAAACUCGUCCUGGAUAUCAGAUCGUGCAAGCCGUUGGGGAAUUUAUGCCGUGGCUAUUCAACCCUUUCAGUCCCUUUGGACCAGUAGUCGAGAAAGGUGGCAGUGAUUUUACGUUUAUCGAUCGAUCUCCCAUUGAUAUAAUAAAAUCUGGUGAAGUGCAGGACGUUGCAUGGAUCACGGGCGUUACAAGCGAGGAAGGCCUCUACCCAGCUGCUGAUUUUGUGACCAGCGAGGAGCUUCUUGCAGACUUGAAUGAAAACUGGGAAUCGAUCGCACCUCAUCUACUUGAUUUCAAUUACACCGCACCGAAGGCUCAACACGCCAAUAUUUCUAAAUUGUAUCAGGGCUGCGAGACUUCAAGCUCGGGGCAAUCAAACUCCCGUGAGAUUUUAUUAUUUCACAUACAGGGGGGUCCACAGUCUGAGCGAAUUAAUGACCGGCAAUACACAGAAUUUCGGUGUCAGUCACGCGGAUGACGUUGCGUACGUGUUCGAUGCCGCAUCGGAAUUGUUUAAUUCAUCGACAACACCGGAAGACCGGAACAUACGAAAUCUUUUGAUUAAUCUCUGGGUGUCGUAUGCCACAAAAGGCUUUCCAAAUAUCGGUAUUGAAUGGCCUGAGGUGAGCAAAUCUUCGGACAGAUUUUUCCACCUAGAAAUCGGAGGGCCGAAAGAAAUCAGUAUAAAGGAUGGUCCUGCCUUUGGAGAGGAGAAGUUUUGGCAGGGUCU
rnacentral:misc_RNA from 1 species